AUUUUCCACUUCCAUGAUUUGGACCCAUACACAAAUAGUUUCAAUUUAAUUGCUUCUCUUCUAGCCAUUGUGUUCUGUGGUCAUCCAAGUUUGAGAUGUGGCGAUGCGGUCCAUUUUAUUGAAAUGUGGGGUUCAAAUCCGAAUAAUUCAAUCAAUUUACAGAACCUGACUUCCCAUAUCUCCAAGUGCUGGUUCCUUUCCAACCCUUGUCCAUGAAGGCAUUCUAUUGUCCUAUCGAUACGUCACUGAACUAUCAACAAGCAAACAAGCUGAUUAAGGAACCAAAACCUAGUGUCUUGGUUAUUCCUGAAAACAAUAAAAAACCGCAUCCAAUUGCUCCACAACUUUAUAUUGAACAACCGGACAAGAAAAUCAUCACUUUCAAAUGUGGCGAAACCAUUCGAUUGCCACUCAAACGAAAAAUGGAUCGAGUCUAUCUUAAACCUGAAUUAGCAUCAAAACAUACUGUGUGUGGGGGUAAGCAGUCGUUGAGACUGAAAUUGAGAGAUUCCCUAAUAAAAUGUGUGCAGCAGCAAUCUGCACAUUCUCAAAAACCACCCGGCUGAGUGCACCACAUGCAAACCCAAUUUACAUUGGGAAAAAAACCAACCCCUUUACCCGAAGGUACACCAAUGCAUCCGUAUGUGAGGCGAAUGACUGGGAAUUUACAGCAGAAUAACGAAUCAGCAGGAGAUAUCAACAAAGGAGGGAAUACUAGACAUCCAAAACACAAACAACAGCAGCAACAACAAAUAAAAAGAUUUAUUUUAUUUAAUAUUUAUUUUAAAAUUGUAUUUAUUGUAAUUUUUUGAUCUAAAAAACAUUAAAAUAAAAAAAAAAAACAAUU